AUUGAACGCUGGCGGCAUGCUUUACACAUGCAAGUCGAACGGCAGCACGGGUGCUUGCACCUGGUGGCGAGUGGCGGACGGGUGAGUAAUACAUCGGAACGUGUCCAGAAGAGGGGGAUAACGCAUCGAAAGAUGUGCUAAUACCGCAUAUGCUCUGAGGAGGAAAGUAGGGGAUCGAAAGACCUUACGCUUUUGGAGCGGCCGAUGUCUGAUUAGCUAGUUGGUGGGGUAAGGGCCUACCAAGGCGACGAUCAGUAGUUGGUCUGAGAGGACGACCAGCCACACUGGGACUGAGACACGGCCCAGACUCCUACGGGAGGCAGCAGUGGGGAAUUUUGGACAAUGGGCGCAAGCCUGAUCCAGCAAUGCCGCGUGAGUGAAGAAGGCCUUCGGUUGUAAGGACUCUUCUAGUCGAGAAGAAAAGGACGUAGCAGUGAAUAACUAGUAG
rnacentral:rRNA from 1 species